AGAGUUUGAUCCUGGCUCAGGACGAACGCUGGCGGCGCGCCUAACACAUGCAAGUCGAACGAGCGAGAGAGAGCUUGCUUUCUCGAGCGAGUGGCGAACGGGUGAGUAACGCGUGAGGAACCUGCCUCAAAGAGGGGGACAACAGUUGGAAACGACUGCUAAUACCGCAUAAGCCCACGGGUCGGCAUCGACCAGAGGGAAAAGGAGCAAUCCGCUUUGAGAUGGCCUCGCGUCCGAUUAGCUAGUUGGUGAGGUAACGGCCCACCAAGGCGACGAUCGGUAGCCGGACUGAGAGGUUGAACGGCCACAUUGGGACUGAGACACGGCCCAGACUCCUACGGGAGGCAGCAGUGGGGAAUAUUGCACAAUGGGGGAAACCCUGAUGCAGCGACGCCGCGUGGAGGAAGAAGGUCUUCGGAUUGUAAACUCCUGUUGUUGAGGAAGAUAAUGACGGUACUCAACAAGGAAGUGACGGCUAACUACGUGCCAGCAGCCGCGGUAAAACGUAGGUCACAAGCGUUGUCCGGAAUUACUGGGUGUAAAGGGAGCGCAGGCGGGAAGACAAGUUGGAAGUGAAAUCUAUGGGCUCAACCCAUAAACUGCUUUCAAAACUGUUUUUCUUGAGUAGUGCAGAGGUAGGCGGAAUUCCCGGUGUAGCGGUGGAAUGCGUAGAUAUCGGGAGGAACACCAGUGGCGAAGGCGGCCUACUGGGCACCAACUGACGCUGAGGCUCGAAAGUGUGGGUAGCAAACAGGAUUAGAUACCCUGGUAGUCCACACCGUAAACGAUGAUUACUAGGUGUUGGAGGAUUGACCCCUUCAGUGCCGCAGUUAACACAAUAAGUAAUCCACCUGGGGAGUACGACCGCAAGGUUGAAACUCAAAGGAAUUGACGGGGGCCCGCACAAGCAGUGGAGUAUGUGGUUUAAUUCGACGCAACGCGAAGAACCUUACCAAGUCUUGACAUCCUGCGACGAUGCUGGAAACAGUAUUUUCCUUCGGGACGCAGAGACAGGUGGUGCAUGGUUGUCGUCAGCUCGUGUCGUGAGAUGUUGGGU
rnacentral:rRNA from 1 species